UAAAUAAUGCUUUAGCAUUAUCUUGUAUGCUUCCUGUAUUUGACUCUUGUCUAAUUUCUGCAUGUUUAUUGUGCGGAAGCAAGUCUACAUUCUGUUACUCUUUUUCAGUGGAGUAGACUAUAUUGAUGCGCCUACGCCAUAAAUGAUUGGUCUCCAUUCAGGCGUUGAUACAUCUACUCUGGCCAUCGAUGGUGAUCAGGUGCCAAAUACACAUAUGAUAGGUCUCCCUCACACAUUAGGACAGAAGAGCAAGAAGAAAAGAGGAGGCAGAUCCUUGCUGCAGCAAGUGGAUUAUCCUCUAGGAAUAUAUACAUGACAAUUUGUUGCAGAUGAAAAUGAAAUCUUGUUCAUGUGAGAUGUAAUCUUUGCAAAGUAAUGUUUGUUUUCCGUUGUUACAUCAGGAAAGGCAAUGCACAAGCUUGUUGGGCACACAAAAUGGAUUUGGUCGAUUAGAAUGGUGGGAGACAGUUAUAACUGGUAGUGAUGAUUUUGGACUGCAAGAAUGUGGUCUAUUUCCUGAAGAACAUGUGAUGGUGUUCUAGCAUGCCAUGCUGGCUCAAUAUUAAGCGUUGAAUAUUCCACACUUGACGAAGGAAUAAUUACAGCCUACCCAAAAUGCGGGUCACUUACUUCGGCUGAGCAGGUCUUUCAUUGGAUAGAGACGAAGACAGUGAGGUCCUGGAGCGCAGUUAUUGGUGGCUAUGCCCAAAAUGGAGAUCCAAAAAAGGCUUUAGAUUUGUACCUUCAAAUGAAAUAUUCAGGCUUGGAUCCUGACUGGUUUAGCAUUGGGAGCCUCCUUUUAGCUUGUGCCCUACCAUAAACAUUUAAGUUCCUUGUGGGUUUGUAUAUUUAAGAUGAAUAUUGAAUGUCGCAAGUCAUUUUUU